UGCAAUAAAGGGAGUAUUGUGCGGAAUAAGAGCGGAUCAGGCAUUAUCAAUCAUUCGAAGCGUGCAAUUAGAAGAGGACAAGCCUUUCCUCGGUUCUGCGCGCGGCACAUGGUCGCAAUUUACUUUGUUCCAGCCUUUUGCGAGGAUUGUUGGAAGCGUGUAAACGCAUACCACCAUCCAUUCUUCUCUUUGUCAUUUUCCUUUCCACAAGAAGAAAUGGCGCGAGUGACGUUGCCUACAAUGUCGUCGAGUGAUCGUUGCCAAGCGGUCGCGUUUCAAAAUUAUUCCCAACUACGCAGUCUCAUCCGAGUAGAACUAACUGAUUUAAAGACGCAGAGGGUGAUCGUUAUUAACGAAACAUAGUCGGUUCGCGGGUUGCUUCCAGUAUGACUCUCCGUUUCUCUUGCGGCCACCUCUCACUCCAAAGAUUUACGAGCAACCAGCUCUACUUCGAGAAGAAACUCUUGAGCGGAACAGGUGAACCCUGCUUGCGAACAGCCUGCUUAUUUGACGGGCGUGUACAGUUUAAGACUUGAUUUGUGCCAGUUAGUUGUGAUUAGUACCGACAGUGAGCGUGAUGCGCUGUUUAUUCUCAUACGAUCUUUCGGCCAUCACUUUUGACCCGGUUAUGGACAUAUGACGAACGAGUGCUGGAAGAUUGGUCGUGUAAUGUCGUUUGUUAACGGCGAUUCGGAGAGGCAGGUGUUGUGAUGUGUUGGGAGGAUGUCGACAAACAUCGACGUGUUGAUGGACAAAACACGCGAAUUCAUCCUGCCACAUAAUAGUCUAAUAUCUGCCAAGAAAAGCGAAGGAUAAACGACGUUUAGGAAUCGUAAAUCAGUGAUACUGGUCACACAGACGCUUCAACGAGAGAAUUACUAUAGAACUAUUAAAAAUUUCCAUUUGACGAAACGAUGUCAUAGUGUUGAACGUUUUAACGAUUUAAGGGACAACCUCGAGUUAUGUGGAUUUAACGAGUUUGUUUGAGGAUGAUAUACGACUUGUUACGCGCCAUUUGAUCUCUUUUGUUAGGUGGGUACACUGCGAUAUUAUUGUCAGCUGUUUGAUGAUCACAAAAGGUGCCAUCUUUGAUAAAUGUAUUGAUAUUUUAUUGAAUGUUACUUGUGGACAUCUUAUACGAUUUUUUAUUUUUUUAUUUUGACAAGAACAAUGCAGUAUUAAUUUUUUGAAUCACCAAAUUUUUCUGCUGGAAGAGUUGCAAAAAUGUCGAACAUGUCUUCCAUAUUUUUAUUUUAUGCAAUAGUUGAUUACAGCACAAGUAACCGUGCUAACGUAUCAAAAUCUCAAACUUCCAAAAACCUAAAUUGCAAAAGAUAAAAAAUCUCAAGUUACAAAAAACCUAAAACCCCAACGUGAAACACUAAAGUUCUGAACCGUAACCUAAACCGUAAUCUGAAACAUAACCUCAAUCUUACCGAUCGGAAGCAGAGAAGUAAAAUGCCAAAUCAGUACAAAGAAAGCAGAAAGAGAAACGGCAGUUAAAAUCGUUCAGUUACAAGAAUCGCGUGUAGCGAGUAGAAUGCACGUACUGUAACAAGAAGAAGGUAGAAAUUUAAAGGUACAACGAGAGGGCGAGACAUUUGAUCUACACAAUGUUUGGAAAUGAUCCUCGGCGAGCCUCGGAACAUGGUUGCAGCGCACCUAUUUUUGUAGAACAAGAUUCUGUGCUUAACACGUCGGGUAGGAAAUAGCCUGGGGAAUUGCUCAAACAAACGAUUCGUUUGUCGGGGAACAAAACGGAGUUACUUAAAUCGAGGAAACUAAGGGUUUCGUGUUUGGAGCGCGUUUAAACGGGAACGAAAAAUGGCCGACCAGAACCAUCUGCUCUCUUCAAGGUUCCUGAAAUUCGAUCAUUUAUUUUUAUAUUCUUAAAAAAUAGAUAUUUUGUGUAUGUGGUUACAUUGUGAUGCGUUAAACGAUACGCUAUUUCGUUUGUUUCGAAUAAAUCGAGCAGACAAGUCGUUAACGGAAGAUCACAACGGGCCAUUUUGAAGGCAGACUCAAGUGCUAUCAAAACGACGGAGACCGAUGCAACCAGAUCGAAAAUUAAUGUUCAUCUUAAAAGCUUCACCUCGAACGGUCAGUGAGAAAUACACUUCAACAAUUCACGAUAAACCCGGGCACGAAAUCGACAGAAGGUCGAUGUAACAGCACCGUCGCUCGUAAAACAGCGGAAUCAAAGAAGCGGCGAUUUACGAGUGGCUAAAAUUGUAGGAAACCAUGUACCAUUGGUUCUGUGAAAUCUACGCUUGUAUCGCUUUUGUGAAUAUGAUGUCAAGAUAGUUUUCGGAGGGCUUUCGAGAAGUGCUUUUCCCUCAGCUUUCUACGUUAAUUUCCAGUAGAAAUAGAGCAUCACGCGGCCUCAGAAGCGGAGAACAAAUUUAACGCCAGACAGAAAGCUGGACUCAAAUUACGAUUGCGGCAUAAGGAAAAAGCACGAAGAAAAUGUUUCAGAGGUCCUCCAGCAAAUUACGCGGAAGUAGCCAGGGAAUGUGUCGAAAGUACGUGUCGCUCCAACGAGAAAUCCUGCGCGCAGUUAUUUCCGUCUAUGUGGCCCCGGCAUCCCCGUCCAAACACCCUCGCUGUAAGUCGCUGCAACACGUUCUACCAUAAGGGCUCUCAUAAAUAUCAUAAGAUGCCUUUGGCUACGGUUGUCAACGCUGCACGGCCUCCAUUUUCGGUCUGGAACUGUGGAGAGUACUUGGAGAUUAGUUUGAUUGAAUACUAUCGUUAGAUCGAUGGAGAAAAUGGAGACUGUACUUGGAUCGAUCGGAAGUAUCGAAAGAAAAUUAUACGGAAAAUUGGAUAAAAUAUUUGUUGACCAUGUAAGAUCAUUUUGGAAAGGUAUCUCUGUGAUUAUAUGUAUAGAAAUAUAGAUUUGUAAUCAUUUUCUGAGUUGAAGUAAUUAUGAAGGAUUAUUGUAACUUGGUUGUCUUACUGCAACACGGUCAUCUUCAUUUUUUAACAUUUUUGGGUUAGGAAGUAUUUUAGAGAUUAAAAGAAAUUGUUUGUUGGAAAUUUGCUACUUUAGUAAUUAUGUAGAGAUGUAGCUUUAUAAUCAUCUUCUAAAUGCUAAUAACUGAAGACUAUGAAGGGUAGUUGUACACCUUGGUACUCUAAUGGCCAUCUUCUUUUUCUAGCAUUUUUAUGUUAGCAAGUAUUUUAGUGAUUAAGAAAAAUUGUUCAUUGCAAAUGUAUUACUUUAGUAGUUAUUUAGAGGUACAGCUCUGUAAUCAUCUUCUAAAUGCUAAUAAGUGAACAUUAUAAAAGAUAAUUAUACACCUUGAUACUAGAACUUGAAUAUGAGCAAACAUGAUGAAGUAUGAUUGAACACCUUUAUAUUAGAACUUGAAUGUGAGCAAACAUGAUGAAGAAUGAUUAAACAUCUUUGUAUUAGAACUUGAAUAUGAGUGAACAUGAUUUAGAAUGAUUGAACACCUUCAUACUAAAACUUGAAUAUGAACAAACACGAUGAAAAAUGAUUGCAUCUUGAUACAACUAGAUCUUCAUGUUUGACCAUUUUUAUUACCAAAGUCUAUUAACUAUCUCACAUAUAAAACUACCCUGUGCAACAACCCUAUUCGUAGAAUCUUCAAACUUUUGUUUGUCAAACCUACUACACCCAUUCACCUGUCCCCCAUUCACAUGAAACAUACUUGACACUAACGAAGUAAGAUCCUAAGAAAUAUGAAAGGUUCACUUGGUCCCGCGAGAUCUUGAAAUACUUAUUUUAUCGCGUAACUAGCCUGCGAAAGAGAACUCGUUUCACGUGCUCUUUUCGAACCCGUGUGCAAAUCCGCAGGAAGUGAACGCGGUCGAGGGAAAUGUGUGUGUACGUGUAUCGAGUUUUGGCCGUGUUCCAAUCUACAUUUCUGAUCGUUUAAACGAGAAAAACUCGAGACAUCACAUGCUCGUUUUUUUUUUUCGAUAAAAUCGAUCUCUGAUAAGGAACUUUUGCCUGCAAUCGUCAUUCUUUUUAGAUAGAUCUUCUAAAAGAUAGGAAAUGUAGCGACGCACGGUACUUGAUAGACUUAAGCACAUUAAUUUUAUUCAUUAAUAUAAUGAUGACGUUAAUUCUAUAAAUAUGUGAAUACACCUACU